AAGUCGUAACAAGGUUUCCGUAGGUGAACCUGCGGAAGGAUCAUUACCACACUUUAAAAAACUGUCCACGUGAACUGUAAGCAAGUCUAGCGCUGUGACUGAGCUGGUGUUUUCAUUUUUGGACACUGGAACGGGAGUCAGCAGGACGAAGGUUGGUCUGUUGUAAUGCAAGUUAUGAUGGACUAGCUGAUGAACUUUUGUUUUUAAACCCUUACCUAAAUACUGAUUUAUACUGUGGGGACGAAAGUCCUUGCUUUUACUAGAUAACAACUUUCAGCAGUGGAUGUCUAGGCUCGC
rnacentral:misc_RNA from 1 species